AUCACCCCGUUUGUUGUCUCUGCUCUCAUGCAAAACUAGUACUACGGACUUUGAUUGCUAUAUGUAAUCAUCCUCCACAGUCAUUAAAGGACCGAUCGAAACGCAACCAUCUAACGUCACGAUACCUACACUGAUUUCUGAAGACUUUUUUCAAUUCUCCUGGUUCGCCUCGCUGGUUCCGCUCAUGGCUGUCAUCACCGCGUUAUGUCUGGCAGGGAGUCUCAUCCUCAUUGUUGUCAUUGGGUAAGUCAUAGAAAGAUGACAACCAAGAGCAUUGAAAGAGGAUUAUU